rnacentral:rRNA from 1 species
UACGUAGGUGGCAAGCGUUGUCCGGAUUUACUGGGCGUAAAGGGCGCGUAGGUGGCCCGGUCAGUUCGUGGUGAAAGCGCGGGGCUCAACCCUGCGUCGGCCAUGAAUACUGCCGCGGCUGGAGCACUGUAGAGGCAGGCGGAAUUCCGGGUGUAGCGGUGGAAUGCGUAGAGAUCCGGAAGAACACCGGUGGCGAAGGCGGCCUGACUGG